UGGGGAAUUUUGGACAAUGGGGGAAACCCUGAUCCAGCCAUCCCGCGUGUGCGAUGAAGGCCUUCGGGUUGUAAAGCACUUUUGGCAGGAAAGAAACGUCGCGGGUUAAUACCCCGCGAAACUGACGGUACCUGCAGAAUAAGCACCGGCUAACUACGUGCCAGCAGCCGCGGUAAUACGUAGGGUGCAAGCGUUAAUCGGAAUUACUGGGCGUAAAGCGUGCGCAGGCGGUUCGGAAAGAAAGAUGUGAAAUCCCAGAGCUUAACUUUGGAACUGCAUUUUUAACUACCGGGCUAGAGUGUGUCAGAGGGAGGUGGAAUUCCGCGUGUAGCAGUGAAAUGCGUAGAUAUGCGGAGGAACACCGAUGGCGAAGGCAGCCUCCUGGGAUAACACUGACGCUCAUGCACGAAAGCGUGGGGAGCAAACAGGAUUAGAUACCCUGGUAGUCCACGCCCUAAACGAUGUCAACUAGCUGUUGGGGCCUUCGGGCCUUGGUAGCGCAGCUAACGCGUGAAGUUGACCGCCUGGGGAGUACGGCCGCAAGGUUAAAACUUAAAGGAAUUGACGGGGUCAU
rnacentral:rRNA from 1 species